UUUUGCAAAUUAAGAAACGAUUAAUGGAUGCUGGCGUGUGUCACACAAAUUAAAUAACACAUUCGCAUCAUUCCAUAAAUAAUCGUACAUAU
rnacentral:snoRNA from 1 species